rfam:Myotis brandtii contig192765, whole genome shotgun sequence.
GGUGGUUCUCAGGCGAUGCACCCCAGAAUUAUGCUCUGGUUCCGGGUGGGUCACCUGAGAACUACA